GGUAACGUGGCCGAGUGGUUAAGGCGGCAGACUUAAGAUCUGCUCAUCCGUAGGAUGGCGUGGGUUCGAACCCCAUCGUUACCA
rnacentral:tRNA from 2 species